AAUUAUUUCUAGAUCGAGAGUAAACUAUAGUAUCGGAUCAUGUUCUUAAGGUACCAGGACAAAGAGUACCCUAGAUAUAACUCCAAGUCAUACCCUCGAUCUUGUUACAGAGAGUCUUUUCAACAAAAUAUAUAUACAAAAAAAAAAAUUCAAACAUCUUACAAGAUCAGUUCUCGACUAGGAUGCCAUAGACCAACAAUCCUGAAAUAAAUUUUUUUUUUAAAAACACGAUACAACUAUUGGCAAUGCAGAUGAUCGAAUUUAACUCAAUUAAACUUUCAGUAAUCCGUUAGACAUAACAGUCUAUUCUUUCAAAAACAACCGAACAUCCAAGGAACGAGUAUACUUGACCAGAAAUGUUCCUAAAAGAUUUUGUUACUCCUAAAUUUAAACCCUUAAAGAAAGAGAACUCCCCAAAGACUGGUUUCAUAAUUAAAACAUUUAACGUGAUAACCCGGAAUAUGGUUCCAUUAUUUCCAAGUGGGACAUCAGGUUAUACAAAAUACAAAUAUGCCUAGAUAAAACUCAAAAGUAAACACUAGCAGAGUAGCAGUGGAAUUUUGGUGGACCAUAACCUAUAACAUAUAAUUUAUAUCUUAGAGUCGCGUCUAAGGCUACCACCUUGAGCCUCUGACAACCAAAGGUGUAACACCUACACUCGAAAAUAAUGAAAUGACUAGAAUAAAAUUCAAUUGUGUUUAAGAAUACUACGUGAUUCCAUCAAAGUCAGAUAAAUUUUCAGCAAUAACAAUUAUGGAUUUCAUACCUUCCUGCGUAAAGAACGCUAGGAAAAGCGAAUCAAUUGCCAAGAGAUUUUAGGAAUCAUUUAAACUUCAUGGAAUUUGAAAGGCUAGUAUGACUUAAACUAAGAGUAGAUUACUUAGACAUUAAGUCACUUGAGUAACGAAGGAGAGGUUUAGCUAUUGAAACAAUUAUUUUCAAAUUUAUAAAGUAAUACUCGAGAUUCAGAAAAUCUUACUACUAGUGGAUUGUUAUAUAUGAGCAUGGAAACCAACUUUAUUGUUUAGAACUCCAAGUCAUUAGAAUAAAAUGCAUGUCUUGGUGAUAAUUAAAGAUUUCGUGGACUAGGGAUCAUAAAAAAAUAAUUUUUAAAAUAUUCAUGCAUUAAUUUUUGAAUGUCAGAAAGUAAGCAAUUUUUAUUGGACGUACGCACAUAGGAAAAGAUGUAAACAUAACAUGGCUUUGAGGUCACUUAACUAAUUAAGAACUUAAUCAUGUGGUGAGAAGUAAAUAUAGUGUAUGUUGCUAAGAGACUUUUCAUGAUGAUAAUCAAACAAAGGCAUGAUGCUCCCAAACAGUGGUUGGUAGUGGUGAUAAUUGCAUAUACUAUUGCUAUAAGAUAUUACGCUCUAAUGAAUUUUGAAGUUCGACAUAAUCUAGAAUAGUAGUCUUUUGUGAAGAUAAAACCUCCUUAGGUUCUAAAACCUCUAAGAUUCAAAGGCCAAUUCUUCGUGAAUAUAUAUCUUUAUUUUUGGGAGAUAAGAAGAGAGAUACCCCAAUUUAAAGUGAUUCCACUAUUAGAAAUACCAUGACAAUUCUAUUCCAUAAAAGAAAGCAUCUAAGAACCGAAAGAGUAAUGAAAGACGAAUAUCCUCAUUUGUUACAAGUUCCUGACAAGUUCAAAUUUUAGAGAUCAAUUUUUUAAGGCGGGAGAUUGUAACAUCCUGUAUAAUUUGACAUUUAAAUUUUUGGGGUGUUUUAUAAGAGUUUUUAAAUAAUUCAAGAGCCUCUGCAAAUUUAAAAGGGCUUAGGGAUUUGAAUGAAAGAAAAUUUCAAAAUCCAGAAAUUAAUCCCUAAAUAAAAAAUCACCCCACUAAAUUAGGGAGAGGGCACCUACUAAAGAAAAACCAGAGAGAUGGAAAAGGAGCGACGGAAAGGGAGGAGAGUGAGAGCUAAGCAAUCAACCAAACAGAAUGCAGACGAGGGGAUUGGAGGCGAUUAGAGGGAGGAAUUUCUCAUAAAAAAUUCGUUGAGAUAGGAAGAAUUCAAAUGAGGACCACCGCUUCAACAGAUACCAAUUUGGAAGCAAGUGCAAGAAGAAUUUGAGUUUUAAACAGUGAAUUUGAAAUUUGUGCUUUAAUUUUUUGUUUCAAAUAAUGAUUGGCGAUGAUUAAAGAAACUACAAUGUGAGAAGGGAUAUUACCGAGGGAUAUGAUAAUUAUAACUUGCGGUGUUGAGAGAAUCCUUUUCAUUCAACAACAUUAUUUCAUGUAUAUCAUUUCUUUUAUUUACUAUUUAGCCUCAAAUGAUACGUAUGCCUGCAUCCCCAAGUAAGACAAGAGUUCGAAAUUUAUAUUUUAGAAUACGUAAAUGUAAUAAAUAUACAUUAUGCUGACCAAAACGUAUUAUGUACAAAAUUGAACAACGGGAAACAUAGAUUAAGACAAAUAAAUUGAAGUAGUUUAAAAUAGAAUAAGUAAAUAGAUAAGUACAAUAUAGCGACUAAAGAAAUAGUUAACACAAUUAAAUAAGCAUAGAAUGACCGGUUAUUGGCUUCAUUGAAAACAUGUACUUAGUUAAUUAAAGAAUCACCAAUUAUCUAAAAUUUUUAUUUAUUAUUAAUUUAGCUUUAAGGGAAAAUAGGUGAGGGAUCCUUACUCUUAGUCGGUGUUUAGAACACUGUCUUUUUUACUACGAUUCUCAACAGUUCCCGGUUCUUGGAUUUCUUGAGUUUUUUUUGAUAAGAUUGAAAACGUACGUCAAAUUGGCUUGAAAAUAUGUAAAGAACUAUGAAAAAAAAUCAAAAAUCUCACCGGGGGUCGGGUUGGGGUUCCAAUGUAGCGGUGCUGCCAUGCUCCGCCGCCUGGUCCUCCAGCGGUUCUUCCUCUCGGUCAGACUAGUUUAGGCUGGUUCUUGGUAAAAAAAAUGUUUAAAUCGUGGUUCGAGGGUGUUUCUCGACGAAAAGAGGGGAAAAACAGGUGCUUACUAGCAAUUUCGAUGUUUUAGUGUGGCAGUUCAGUCGAGCUCUGCCAUCCCUCCCUUGCAGUUUGCAGCUUUUCUCGGUCACCCUACAUCGGAAACAUGUUAGGCGGCUAAAGGGCGGAGAAAUCGGAAGAACGGAAAGAAAAUAUGACUUAUUGGAGUAUUUUCAAUCUUUGGAAUGGUGGCACUGACGUCCUCCAGUGGCUGAGCUUCUCCUCUAGCUGCCUCUCUUCGUCUUCUCCGGCUUGGGUGUCGGCUAAGGUUAAGGUUUAACUGAAAAGAGAUUUAAAAACCUCUCUUAUAAUAUCCUAAGCCCAGAAAUUAAGCUCGGGAUGAUAUAAAUUAAUUUUAAAACUAAUAUUAAAAAUAUUUAAUUUUAAUUUUUCUAGAAUUUUUUUGAUAUAUAUGCAUUUUGGAUACAUUUGAAAAUAAUUUCAAACGGAUUGGGCCAAAAUAGAAAUAAAGGAGGACCAAAUUAAAAAAAAGUGGCCACGUAGGACGGCCAUGUCAGCAGCACGGGCAGUCACCGUGCGCCGCGUAGUGGAUACGACAGGACGCACUCCACGCGAGAAGCCACACGGGCAAUCCGUGUGCCAAGCGAUCCAACAGCCCGUGUUCACUCCUGCCAUCACGAACGACCUAGAUUUAUUUUCUCAUUAGGUGUGAUCGGAUGAUCCACACACCUUUGAUCGUACAACCUAGAUCUUUUUUCCUUUUAGGUACAAUCAAACGGCUAAGGAAGCACCAUGCGGACCCAGAUGGACAACUCAGAUCGUGAGAAGGGGAGUAUUUAAACUCCUCUUCCAUCGAAACCCUAACCUUAACCCUAGCCACACAACUGCUCGUUGGAGAAGAAAAAGAAGAAGGGCGGCUAAAGGUGAAGCCAGCCACCAUCGUUGCUGCACCGGAGACCUAAAUCGACGCUGAUAAGUGCAAUUGUCUCCUGUUCGUCCCGUUUUUCCAUUCUAAGCUACCCAAAACACUUCUUGAUGUAGGAAAACGCGAGGAAAAGCCAUAAAUGGAGGGCGGAGCUCAGUUGAGCCACUGCACCCAAAACAAAAAAAUGCUCAUUUGAACCUGAAGUCCAUUUCUAUUACUUCCGUUUCUUGACCUUAGGCCAUCUAACAUGUUUUUCGGUACAGGGUAAUCGAAGGAAAGCCGUGAUUACGAGCAAGAAACAACAGAGGUUGGUGGAGCCAUCACACCAGAAAGCCAGAACCAUUAGUUUUCACCCAUAACUGGCCGAAACCGGCCUGACCGAGAGGAAGAGCCAUCGUAGAAGGAGGAACUAACUGUAGAGCACGGCGGCACUGUUGCGCUGGAAGCCUAAACUGAACCCCGAAAAACCCAAGAAAUCCAAGAACUGGGAAGCGUAAUGAAAAAAGCGGUGUUCCAGAUACUGACUCAAAGUACAAGUGGCUAAUGGAGCAAAUAACCGGAAACAUGGAGUGCGGAUGGUCGUUCGAUCGAGUCUAUUUGGGAUACCAAUCUGGGCUGUCCAUCCGGAUUUGCAUGGACGACAGGAGCCGUUCGAUCGAAGCUUAUUCGAAAAAUUGAUUUGGGCCGUUCGUGCGUGCGAUAAUGGACAUGGACCAUUCGAUUACCCUAGCAUGCGGCUUGCCCGCGUGACUUCCCAUGUGGAGCCUGUGUCAGUGUGUCUUGCGUGACGAUUCGUCGUGCCGCUGACUUGGUGUACAUGUGGUCCAUAUUUUCUCUUUUUGCAAUUUGACCUCUGUUUUUAAAUUUUUCUUUUAAACAUAUUCUCAUUUAUUUACAAUUUGGCACUGGCUUUUGAAAUUCAUUUUCAAAGACAUCCAAAAUGUAUAUAUUCUAAAAAAAUAAUAAUAAAUUUUCUCA